AAUCCCUCAAAAAAGUCUAUCUUCUCCACGUCUCUUACUCUCCCUGUAAAAAAACAAUCGUGCGCCAUAGUCUCUCCUCCUCCCCACGGUCUCCUCCUCACGUUCUCUCCUCCCCAUGGUCUCCUCCUCCCCAGAGAAAGGAAAUCAAUCAUAUCUCACAAAUUGGAGCAAGGAAUUUAGGAAAUUGAUCUGGUGCGCUCACGCCAUGGAAUCUCUCCUCCUCCUCCCAUGGAAAAAACAAACAAAUCUCUCUCAAAUUGGAGCAACCAAGAUGGGGAAUAGAUCAGUCCUAGGAUUCAAUCCUAGGUUUGCUGACGUACGCUCUUUGGGCACUUCGUGGAGAUCGCGACGGGGCAGAACCAAGCCCAUGCCCUCAAAAUCCCUCAAAAAAGUCAUCUUCUCCACGUCUCUUACUCUCCCUGUAAAAAAACAAUCGUGCUCCAUAGUCUCUCCUCCUCCCCACGUUCUCUCCUCCCCAUGGUCUCCUCCUCCCCAGAGAAAGGAAAUCAAUCAUAUCUCUCAAAUUGGAGCAAGGAAAUUAGGAAAUUGAUCUGGUGCGCCCACGCCAUGGAAUCUCUCCUCCUCCUCCCAUGGAAAAAACAAACAAAUCUCUCUCAAAUUGGAGCAACCAAGCUGGGGAAUAGAUCAGUCCUAGGAUUCAAUCCUAGGUUUGCUGACGUACGCUCUUUGGGCACUUCGUGGAGAUCGCGACGGGGCAGAACCAAGCCCAUGCCGCCAUCUUAUAAAUUAACUGCAGCCUGAAACAAACUAUCUACACAUAAAGGAGGCUCCUGUCGGUCGUGAACAUCGUCGCUGGUGAACCUUCUCCUGUUUGAACCCAGCCCAUGCCGCCAUCUUAUAAAUUAAUUGCAGCCUGAAACAAACUAUCUACACAUAAGGAGGCUCCUGUCGGUCGUGAACAUCGUCGCUGGUGAACCUUCUCCUGUUUGGUCAACUCCUUUUGUUUACCUUCAAAACAAUGGCAUACGAUAUGCUCCAUGAGAUUAGCAAUCAGAAGGAUUCCUGGAAAGUCAAGGUCAGAAUAAUUAGGCUAUGGGAUGCCAUUAAUCUCAACAACAAUGAACUUAUUAGCCUUGACAUGAUACUACUUGAUGAAGAGGGUACUAUGAUACAUGGCAAGGUAAUGAAGCAUAUGGUUAACAAGUUCAGACCAUUGAUCCAAGAAGGUUUAGUCUACAUGAUAGCAAAUUUUAAGGUUAUGUGUGCAAUGAAUUUCCGUCCAGUUGAAAGCGAAAAGUUUCUAAAUUUCUUGCACACGACAAAAAUUCAAGAGAUAAAAGGUCAAAAAAAAUAUCAAAAUAGCAGAACAAAGCUUCACGUUUUGUACCGUUGAAGUUCUUUGCACAAGAGAAGGCCAAAAGAUUUACUUAUCUGAUGUCAUUGGCAUAGCAAGUUACAUAGGACAUAUUGAAGAAACACAGACAACCCACGGGAUUUCAAAGAUUCGAGAUAUUGUGCUUCGAAUUGAGGAUCAAAAAAUUAAUAUUAGACUAUGGGGUAAUAAGGUUAGUCAAAUUGAUGAAGAUUCUUUGGGGCGUGUGGUCAUAGUAACAUCAACUACUGUUAGAAAACUGAAAGAGUACUCGCUGUCAUCUACAGGUGCGACCAGAGUUUAUAUCGAUUUGGAUAUCCCUGAAACAAAUGAGCUUCAAACGAGGUAUUGCUUGCAAGAUGAUAUGGUAGAAGAAAUAGAGCCGGAAGCCCACUUGCAAGGCACUAUUCAAGAACUAAUGCUCUAUAACAGAAGAACCCUAAAAGAAAUAACUGAACUUAUAUAUGAAUCUGAAAAACAGGAAAAGUUCUAUACUGCAGAAGCAAUGAUUAAGUCAAUUAAUACAUCAGAUGAGUGGUACUACAUAGGAUGCCGCAAAUGCAACAAAAAAGUACAGAAACAAGGGAACCACUUCUACUGUCCGAAAUGUCAAAAAGAACCUGAGAAGAUAUGUCCAAGGUACAAACUAAAACUAGAGAUAUGUGAUCUGAGUGCAACAACAACUUGCACCAUGUUUGAGGCAGAAGCAAAAAAAUUGAUUAAGCAAUCUGCAAGUUUUUUGAUAGAGAGGGAUGAUUGUGAUAUCCAUGAACAGACAAAACAAAUCCAGAAAAUAUGUGGGCAGAGAUUGAUUUUUCAAUUCAGAUUGAAUGACUAUAAUUUGAAGUACGGUUAUCAAGAAUACACUGUUAAUAGAAUCUUUUUCAUAGAUUCUGAAAAAGAUACAUCAGUACAUCAUUCAAAUGUUGAGCAGAUGGAGGAUGAUAAACCCAUUCUAACAGACAUUAAAAAGACUAGGAGGACUAGGAACACACGUCAUGUUGUACAUUCUGAUGAAGAAUCAGAAAAUCUGGAUAGUCAAGAGAAAGAUGAAUCCAUAUCUGUUGUUGAUAAGAAAUCUAAGAAAAAGGGAAUUCAAAAAGAUAGCCAUGAGCAAGCGGACAAGUUAUCAGUUAUGAAAACUAUAAAGCAAGAACCAGAGGAUGAUGAACCCACUAUUAACCGGACUAAAAGAGGUAGGAGAAGUAGCACAACUCAUGUUGUACACCUUGAUGAAGAACCAACAACUGAAGGUAGUCAGGAAAUAAUGAAAUCAAAAUCUAUGGAAGCAGGCCCAAGAGGAAACGCGCCGUAACUCGCAAAUGUGCUGCUAUUGAUAGCAAACAAGUAAACAAUCACCAUGAAAAAGAAUCAGAACAGGCAGGUACUCAGGAGCACAAUGAUUCAAGGCCUAGGACAAGGCGUAGUUGUGCCAAUAAAGAAUUGAUGAACAAAGACAUUCAGAAGUGUGGUGUAUCAAGAACUCGAAAGUCAAAUCGUUGAUUAGUGGAAAUCCAAUUAUUUAGCAUGUAAUAGAACAUAUAGGAGCAUCAGAUUUGUACUUUAUAUGAACAUCAUUGUUUAAGAUUGGUUUUAAUAAAUGUAAAUGCGUACCUUCGUGUUAGUAAAGUCAUUAGUGAAAAGCAGCCACAUGGGGUGGUACAUCAGUUUUACAAAAAAAACAUUGUCAUUUAUUGUAAACAUAUUAGCGAUUUUCACAUGUUCAUCCGCUACAGAAUAGGCCUCUCGACGACAUACAAAUUUUCACAUGUUGAGACACUACAGAGAAAGCAUAUGACAG
rnacentral:rRNA from 1 species